CCGACGCCUGUCGCAGCCAGGGUAUCGAGCGGCCGUUGCUGGUGACCGACAGCGGCCUGGCGCGCGCGCCGAUCACCACGGCGGCGCUGGAC
rnacentral:tRNA from 1 species